rnacentral:rRNA from 1 species
UACAGAGGGUGCGAGCGUUGUUCGGAAUUAUUGGGCGUAAAGGGCGCGUAGGCGGUGAAUCGGGUUGAAAGUGAAAGUCGCCAAAAAGUGGCGGAAUGCUCUCGAAACCAAUUCACUUGAGUGAGACAGAGGAGAGUGGAAUUUCGUGUGUAGGGGUGAAAUCCGUAGAUCUACGAAGGAACGCCAAAAGCGAAGGCAGCUCUCUGGGUCCCUACCGACGCUGGGGUGCGAAAGCAUGGGGAGCGAACAGG